AGUGAACGCUGGCGGUAGGCCUAACACAUGCAAGUCGAACGGCAGCACAGUAAGAGCUUGCUCUUACGGGUGGCGAGUGGCGGACGGGUGAGGAAUACAUCGGAAUCUACUUUUUCGUGGGGGAUAACGUAGGGAAACUUACGCUAAUACCGCAUACGACCUACGGGUGAAAGCAGGGGAUCUUCGGACCUUGCGCGAUUGAAUGAGCCGAUGUCGGAUUAGCUAGUUGGCGGGGUAAAGGCCCACCCAGGCGACGAUCCGUAGCUGGUCUGAGAGGAUGGUCAGCCACACUGGAGCUGAGACACGGUCCAGACUCCUACGGGAGGCAGCAGUGGGGAAUAGUGGACAAUGGGCGCAAGCCUGAUCCAGCCAUACCGCGUGGGUGAAGAAGGCCUUCGGGUUGUAAAGCCCUUUUGUUGGGAAAGAAAAGCAGCAGGUUAAUACCCCGCUGUUCUGACGGUACCCAAAGAAUAAGCACCGGCUAACUUCGUG
rnacentral:rRNA from 1 species